CCCAGACUCCUACGGGAGGCAGCAGUGGGGGAUAUUGCACAAUGGGGGGAACCCUGAUGCAGCGACGCCGCGUGGGUGAAGAAGCGCCUCGGCGCGUAAAGCCCUGUCAGCAGGGAAGAAAAUGACGGUACCUGAAGAAGAAGCCCCGGCUAACUACGUGCCAGCAGCCGCAGUAAUACGUAGGGGGCAAGCGUUAUCCGGAUUCACUGGGUGUAAAGGGAGCGUAGACGGCCAUGCAAGCCUGGAGUGAAAGCCCGGGGCCCAACCCCGGGACUGCUCUGGGAACUGUGCGGCUGGAGUGCGGGGGGGGGCAGGCGGAAUUCCUGGUGUAGCGGUGAAAUGCGUAGAUAUCAGGAGGAACACCGGCGGCGAAGGCGGCCUGCUGGACCGUGACUGACGUUGAGGCUCGAGAGCGUGGGGAGCAAACAGGAUUAGAUACCCUUGUAA
rnacentral:rRNA from 1 species